GUAGGUGGCAAGCGUUGUCCGGAAUUAUUGGGCGUAAAGCGCGCGCAGGCGGUCCUUUAAGUCUGAUGUGAAAGCCCACGGGCUCAACCGUGGAGGGUCAUUGGAAGCUGGGGGACUUGAGUACAGAAGAGGAAAGCGGAAUUCCAAGUGUAGCGGUGAAAUGCGUAGAGAUUUGGAGGAACACCAGUGGCGAAGGCGGCUUUCUGGUCUGUAACUGACGCUGAGGCGCGAAAGCGUGGGGAGCAAACAGGAUUAGAUACCCUGGUAGUCCACGCCGUAAACGAUGAGUGCUAAGUGUUAGGGGGUUUCCGCCCCUUAGUGCUGCAGCUAACGCAUUAAGCACUCCGCCUGGGGAGUACGGCCGCAAAGGCUG
rnacentral:rRNA from 1 species